GAAACGGUAGCUAAUUACCGCAUUACGUCGCAAGACCAAAGAGGGGGACCUUCGGGCCUCUUGCCAUCGGAUGUGCCCAGAUGGGAUUAGCUUGUUGGUGGGGUAACGGCUCACCAAGGCGACGAUCCCUAGCUGGUCUGAGAGGAUGACCAGCCACACUGGAACUGAGACACGGUCCAGACUCCUACGGGAGGCAGCAGUGGGGAAUAUUGCACAAUGGGCGCAAGCCUGAUGCAGCCAUGCCGCGUGUAUGAAGAAGGCCUUCGGGUUGUAAAGUACUUUCAGCGGGGAGGAAGGGAGUAAAGUUAAUACCUUUGCUCAUUGACGUUACCCGCAGAAGAAGCACCGGCUAACUCCGUGCCAGCAGCCGCGGUAAUACGGAGGGUGCAAGCGUUAAUCGGAAUUACUGGGCGUAAAGCGCACGCAGGCGGUUUGUUAAGUCAGAUGUGAAAUCCCCGGGCUCAACCUGGGAACUGCAUCUGAUACUGGCAAGCUUGAGUCUCGUAGAGGGGGGUAGAAUUCCAGGUGUAGCGGUGAAAUGCGUAGAGAUCUGGAGGAAUACCGGUGGCGAAGGCGGCCCCCUGGACGAAGACUGACGCUCAGGUGCGAAAGCGUGGGGAGCAAACAGGAUUAGAUACCCUGGUAGUCCACGCCGUAAACGAUGUCGACUUGGAGGUUGUGCCCUUGAGGCGUGGCUUCCGGAGCUAACGCGUUAAGUCGACCGCCUGGGGAGUACGGCCGCAAGGUUAAAACUCAAAUGAAUUGACGGGGGCCCGCACAAGCGGUGGAGCAUGUGGUUUAAUUCGAUGCAACGCGAAGAACCUUACCUGGUCUUGACAUCCACAGAACUUUCCAGAGAUGGAUUGGUGCCUUCGGGAACUGUGAGACAGGUGCUGCAUGGCUGUCGUCAGCGCGUGUUGUGAAAUGUUGGGUUAAGUCCCGCAACGAGCGCAACCCUUAUCCUUUGUUGCCAGCGGUCCGGCCGGGAACUCAAAGGAGACUGCCAGUGAUAAACUGGAGGAAGGUGGGGAUGACGUCAAGUCAUCAUGGCCCUGCGACCAGGGCUACACACGUGCUACAAUGGCGCAUACAAAGAGAAGCGACCUCGCGAGAGCAAGCGGACCUCAUAAAGUGCGUCGUAGUCCGGAUUGGAGUCUGCAACUCGACUCCAUGAAGUCGGAAUCGCUAGUAAUCGUGGAUCAGAAUGCCACGGUGAAUACGUUCCCGGGCCUUGCACUCACCGCCCGUCA
rnacentral:rRNA from 1 species